rnacentral:rRNA from 1 species
UGGAUUAGUGGCGGACGGGUGAGUAACGCGCGAGCAAUCUGCCCUUGUCAGUGGAAUAACACAGAGAAAUUUGUGCUAAUACCGCAUAAUAUUCAGUUGAGGCAUCUCAGUUGAAUCAAAGAAUUAUCGGACAAGGAUGAGCUCACGUCCCAUUAGGUAGUUGGUGAGGUAACGGCCCACCAAGCCGACGAUGGGUAGCCGACCUGAGAGGGUGAUCGGCCACAUUGGAACUGAGAAACGGUCCAGACUCC